rnacentral:rRNA from 1 species
AUUGAACGCUGGCGGCAGGCCUAACACAUGCAAGUCGAGCGGAUGACGGGAGCUUGCUCCUUGAUUCAGCGGCGGACGGGUGAGUAAUGCCUAGGGAUCUGCCUGGUAGUGGGGGACAACGUUUCGAAAGGAACGCUAAUACCGCAUACGUCCUACGGGAGAAAGCAGGGGACCUUCGGGCCUUGCGCUAUCAGAUGAGCCUAGGUCGGAUUAGCUAGUUGGUGGGGUAAUGGCUCACCAAGGCGACGAUCCGUAACUGGUCUGAGAGGAUGAUCAGUCACACUGGAAAUGAGACACGGUCCAGACUCCUACGGGAGGCAGAAGUGGGGAAGAUUGGACAAUGGGCGAAAGCCUGAUCCAGCCAUGCCGAGUGUGUGAAGAAGGUCUUCGGAUUGUAAAGCACUUUAAGUUGGGAGGAAGGGCAGUAAGUUAAUACCUUGCUGUUUUGACGUUACCGACAGAAUAAGCACCGGCUAACUCUGUGCCAGCCGCCGCCGUAA